CUUGUCAUUUCAUAUCAUUUUAUAUCUUUUUUGGUUAUUUUGAUACUAACGUGACUCGAAACUUAAAGAUUAAAGCUUGUCAAAAUUUUUUGUGAACGAUGGCUGAUUUCUCCAGAACCUCAGCCGCUGUGGCAAAUACUAAUAUAGAUAGAACUGUAAGUGAAAUUAAUACUAGUAAAAAAAGUUAUUGGAGGCAAAUGCUGAAAAGCUACGAGAAGAGGAACGCUUCGUUGGAGAGAAAGCGUAACGAACUCGUCGAAAGAGUCCGUUUUAUGGAAUGUACAUUGCCAUCCUUGCUGAUGGGCGUCGCUGCAUCUACCGCCUACGGCAAACGAGGAAUCCCCGAUAAACAGGCGAAAAUUCCAGAGAACACAUCCAAAUCCUCUAAUCAAAGGACAUAGCUGCAAAUCGUAACAAAUACACACACAUUACGAAUAAAAUCAAUUCUAUAUAUGAAAUGAAUCUGUAAGCAAACAGCGCCAUAGUGGUCAAAUAGGCUUGAUCGAAUAAUUUUUGCUCCGAAAAUCUAUACUGCAUAAAUAUGGUAAGUGUUUGUAUAUGCACACUUUUGCGAAAAAUACUAAAUCUAUCAAAUCACUCAAGAUUGAUAUAUAUAAUGCUAAGGCACGUUCGGUGUGUUAUACGAUCGAACGAAAAGUAGGACUAGAAACACAUUCUUUACACACUAACUAUACGCAUAUCAAUGAACAUUAAAUGUUAAAGCAUACGUACGCACAUACAUGUAUAUAUUUUUCCAAAAGAAUAUUUUUUCAUAAAGCCACACGCAAGCCUAGCUUAGUUUCAAUAAGAUUCAUGAAAUGAUAUUCUACAGUGAAGGUAGCAAUUAUCUCAAUUUAAUUCAGUAUAUAAUUCUAUUAUAUACUUUAUCGCGUAAAAUUGCCGUGCAAAAGUUUAACAUGAAAAGCUAAAAGAAAAAGAUAUCGGAGUAAAGUGAAUCAUUGAGGAAUUUAUAUAUUCCUCUUAUGAUACAUAUAUAUUACUUUCCUACAAUUACUUUUUCUAACGACUCCUCACACAGUGUAUAAUGAUGGAAAUUAUAAUAGAAUCUCCAAUAGUCGUUGAUAUAGACAUUAUAGAAUCUCAACGGCACUACACAGACAUGCCUUUGUGGAUCAUUGAAUGCAUGGUAUCACGAAUCGCGCGAUAAUUUGCGACACACAUGUGAUGUGUGAUAUCAAAUUAGCUUACGCACGCACAAUUGCAUUUUUGUUAUAUCAAAUUUAAAUUUAUGUCGAAACGUGGAUUUAAAUUUCGAUAGAGACAUACUAUAAGGAUUCGAAGAUACAUUUGAUACGUCACUUGGUACAAAUACACGUCUGUUUAAUGCAGUCAUCUUCAAUCUGAUUUUUUUCUGGGCGUCAUUCUUUAUCUCUUAAAAAUGCAUCAAUCGCGAAUAUUUCGAAUCAUAUAUGAAAUUAUUUUGUAAUAAUUAUUGCACUUUGUAAUAAUUAUUACAAAACAUCGUUAUAAUUAUUUUAUAAUAACGCUUUAUACAAUUUACGCUCGCGUGUGAGGGAGAUAUAUAUAAUCUACGGCUUAUUUGGCACUUGAUUUCACAGCUUGUACGAAAAGAUUGGUCGUGACGUGGGGAAGGUGAAGUACGCCAAACCGAGGGUUCAGGUUGGCACUUGAUCCGCAGGCGCCCUCGUUUUAUUUCUAGGACGUACCAUUUCUGAUCGUCACUUGGGCACACCAAGCAGCGCCAGCCGUAUUGUCCU